rnacentral:rRNA from 1 species
GAUGAACGCUAGCUACAGGCUUAACACAUGCAAGUCGAGGGGCAGCAUGGUCUUAGCUUGCUAAGGCCGAUGGCGACCGGCCCACGGGUGAGUAACACGUAUCCAACCUGCCGUCUACUCUUGGACAGCCUUCUGAAAGGAAGAUUAAUACAAGAUGGCAUCAUGAGUCCACAUGUUCACAUGAUUAAAGGUAUUCCGGUAGACGAUGGGGAUGCGUUCCAUUAGAUAGUAGGCGGGGUAAUGGCCCACCUAGUCUUCGAUGGAUAGGGGUUCUGAGAGGAAGGUCCCCCACAUUGGAACUGAGACACGGUCCAAACUCCUACGGGAGGCAGCAGUGAGGAAUAUUGGUCAAUGGGCGAGAGCCUGAACCAGCCAAGUAGCGUGAAGGAUGACUGCCCUAUGGGUUGUAAACUUCUUUUAUAAAGGAAUAAAGUCGGGUAUGCAUACCCGUUUGCAUGUACUUUAUGAAUAAGGAUCGGCUAACUCCGUGCCAGCAGCCGCGGUAAUACGGAGGAUCCGAGCGUUAUCCGGAUUUAUUGGGUUUAAAGGGAGCGUAGAUGGAUGUUUAAGUCAGUUGUGAAAGUUUGCGGCUCAACCGUAAAAUUGCAGUUGAUACUGGAUAUCUUGAGUGCAGUUGAGGCAGGCGGAAUUCGUGGUGUAGCGGUGAAAUGCUUAGAUAUCACGAAGAACUCCGAUUGCGAAGGCAGCCUGCUAAGCUGCAACUGACAUUGAGGCUCGAAAGUGUGGGUAUCAAACAGGAUUAGAUACCCUGGUAGUCCACACGGUAAACGAUGAAUACUCGCUGUUUGCGAUAUACAGCAAGCGGCCAAGCGAAAGCGUUAAGUAUUCCACCUGGGGAGUACGCCGGCAACGGUGAAACUCAAAGGAAUUGACGGGGGCCCGCACAAGCGGAGGAACAUGUGGUUUAAUUCGAUGAUACGCGAGGAACCUUACCCGGGCUUAAAUUGCAGAUGAAUUACGGUGAAAGCCGUAAGCCGCAAGGCAUCUGUGAAGGUGCUGCAUGGUUGUCGUCAGCUCGUGCCGUGAGGUGUCGGCUUAAGUGCCAUAACGAGCGCAACCCUUGUUGUCAGUUACUAACAGGUUCCGCUGAGGACUCUGACAAGACUGCCAUCGUAAGAUGUGAGGAAGGUGGGGAUGACGUCAAAUCAGCACGGCCCUUACGUCCGGGGCUACACACGUGUUACAAUGGGGGGUACAGAGGGCCGCUACCACGCGAGUGGAUGCCAAUCCCAAAAACCUCUCUCAGUUCGGACUGGAGUCUGCAACCCGACUCCACGAAGCUGGAUUCGCUAGUAAUCGCGCAUCAGCCACGGCGCGGUGAAUACGUUCCCGGGCCU